UAAAGGUGGUGUCGAGUUGGAGUAUUUGGUCGCAAACACGCUGGUGGAUUUCUACGUCAAAUGUGGGAGCUCAGCAGACGCUCGCAGAGUUUUUGACAAGAUGCCACUGCACGAUGUCGUGUCCUGGACGGCGCUGGUGCUGGGCUACGCUGGAAACGGUGAAGGCCAGGCGGCCUUGGAUCUCUUAGAGGACAUGCAACGUCGGGGCUGUACACCGAAUGCUUAAGCUCACUACUUUGAGUGCAUUGUUAGAGGGACAAGAAAGCAAACGAGAAGAAAUCCUGGCGAUCUGUCUCCAUGGUGUUUCCCCGACAAAAAAGGUAGCAGCUACCUCUAGAGAUGUUUUGCAAGAGAAGAG